rnacentral:rRNA from 1 species
CAGCAGCCGCGGUAAUACGAAGGGUGCAAGCGUUACUCGGAAUUACUGGGCGUAAAGCGUGCGUAGGUGGUGGUUUAAGUCCGUUGUGAAAGCCCUGGGCUCAACCUGGGAAUUGCAGUGGAUACUGGAUCACUAGAGUGUGGUAGAGGAUAGUGGAAUUUCCGGUGUAGCAGUGGAAUGCGUAGAGAUCGGAAGGAACACCAGUGGCGAAGGCGACUCUCUGGUCUGUAACUGACGCUGAGGAGCGAAAGCGUGGGGAGCAAACAGGAUUAGAUACCCCCGUAGUCCCUGUCUCUUAUAC